AUAGUUCGAAGAAGCAUCGGGGCGGGAGAGAGAGGCUGUGUGUCUGUGCGAGUGCGCACCUUUGGAUAGGCUGUAACAGAAGAACUCAGGCAGACACAGGAGCAGGGACCGUGAGAGGACAGGAGAGACGACACAAAGGGGUUUGGACAGACUUAACGCCAGAAACAAUAUACAGCAAAAGAGAUGAGCGGCGACUUUCAUUCACAUCUUUCAGACGAAAGAGAAGAGGCACCCCCAAAAGUGUCGUGUCAGCAUUUGCAGGGAAAUGCCAGUCUCACUAUUAGCCGCAGCAGCAGCAGCAGCCACAGAGUCAGCUGUCGCCUCUGAAACGCAACACCACCUCCGAUUGUGCUGAGAGAGCUCAGAAGAAAAGGCCCAGCGCUGCUCUGCCUAAAUGCAUGUAUUUGUUGGAUCUGCUGUCCAGGUCUGAAGGUGACUCGUUGGCUGAGCCAGAGGCUGCAACACAGGACAUGGGUCCUGCCUCUUCCUACCACUCGUGUCUUGUGUUGCAGCCAGUGGAGCUGCCUGCUUUGACUGUCUGCCACUCUGUCUGCCCUACUGAUGAUGGAUUGAGUCUCUGGAACAUAGGAAUCCUAUCAAGUCACAGACUUUCUGACCAGAAUCCUCACUUCACAGCUGCUCCUGUGUCAAAUUACAAUACAUAUAUUUUUUUUAUUAAUCAAAAAUCUGUCCUGCUCUAAAGAGGUAAUAAAAGUAUCAUAUGUUGGAUUUUUGAUCAUAAGAGUGCCCUAAAAGUACAUUUGUUUUCAUAACAUAGGGGUCUUCUAGUGCAGGGGUGGGCAACUCCAGGCCUCCUGCAGGGCUGUCUCCUGCAAUUUAAAUCAAACAUGCUCCCUACAACUAUUGCCAUUACUGAUAAAGAAAUGAAAUGAGUCAACAUGUAAAGCAUUUGGUAAUGAAAUUAAUGUUUUAAUGAAAAAUGUUUCAAACUUUUCAUUAUUUUAAUUUGAUUCAUUUGAAAUAUGUCUUAACAUAUUUAUUGCUGCUGUUCCUUUUGGUACUCGGCAUAAAAAUAUAAGGUUAUUAACACACACAAAAAAAGAGAUCUUGUAAUCAUUUUGAAAAAUCUAAUUGUAUCAUGCUGUCUUGAUGCUUUGGACUCUGUAUUUUGUUUCUUAAAUUCAUUAAUUUCUUUACUUUUUUUUGUUAUUCAAUAAAAGCAUAUUUUCACCAGGAGACCACCUUUCACUUGCUUAUGUUUGUGUACUCAGCAUCUAAACAUGAAACAUCAAAAGUCCUACUCAGGAAAUCUAGAAAAUAAGUUGUUUUCUUCAAGCCAGAAUUAAUUUCUUGCAACCCAAAAGGAAAAUGGAAAGCACUUAAUAUGAAGGUCUUGGAAACCGUACACACUGCCCUCAAAAGGCUAUAGGGGAAGAAGCCACUUGUUGUAGACAUCUUGGACAAUAUUGCAAUCCAGGCCUCAAUGAUCACAACAACAGACUUUGCAGAAGGUCACAGUUUCUUUUAAAAUCUUUUCUUCUGAGAAAUAUAAGGACCUACAAGGCAUAGUGAAAGAAUCUGUUGCCAUGUUCCUCAUGCUUGGAGAUAAAUCCCUCUUUAUGAGCAUCUGUGGGGGGAAGAGAUCACAGAGUUGUCGCGCAUCAGGUGUUCCUGCUUUACCGGUUCAACUACACAGUAAUAUAGGAUCGCUCCUUUAUUACUGUGUAGUUGAACCGGUGAGAGUGCACAUAGUUUAGACUAUGAAGCUGUCAUCAGUGUUUGAGUCGGUCACUAGAUUCAAAGACAUAUCUGCGUGUGAAAUUACGCUGCUUUCAGUCUCACUCAAUUUAAAUGGUUUACAAUGAGAAUAAAAAAAGGAAGCUGAGCAAAGCCAGUAUUGAGAGACUUCUCAGAAACACACUCUGUUAUUUACCAGAACAUAAAUCAGAAGUUAACAAGUUUUUGCCAUAGACCUCCUGUUUUAUCUUGAGGUAGAUCUUCAUCUAGAUAAACAACAGAACAUCUAAACUGACAUUAUUAUAAUAAGAAUAUUUGUGGUUUGUUGUGCUAGCAGGGCUAACAGCAACUACCGGGGAAUUUUCUUCACUUUUUUGCAAGUUGUUUCUGCUGGUUUCACUGUUUACAACCCAGACGCAAGUGGUUAGCACAACCCUCCCACCAGCAUCACUAAAGCUCCCGUGGAGUGUAGUAAGGCCUGCAAGCAGAGACUUCCUGUGCAAACAGUAAUGAUUGUCUCAGCGUCUGGGACAUGACAAGAUGUUGUGAUUACUCUCAGCUUUUAUGCAUGUCUUUGAAUAAAUGACACACGAAGAAAAGAAAUGUGAGAAAUGUUGUUUCAUGUUUAUGAAAUAACUUUGUACCAGAACCCAUCAAAUGUUUCAAAUGAGAGAACAUUGAUUUUAUUUUACUACCAUGAACUACUGCAUUAAUAAUAAUAAAAAUAAACAUUUUAAAAGUGAGAACAGUUAGGAAAACUUUACCUAAUCUCAUUCACAUGGAAUAAUUUUAUUUAUGUUAGUCCAUAAUGCACUAUUGCAAUCUAUACCAUUUUUAGAUUUGGAAAGAUGGUAUAGAUCUGCAGUUUUAUUGUUGUUUUUAAAAAUGAAUGCUUCAAGUGGGGCUUCUACUUCACAAUUACACACUUUGUGUUGGUACAUCACAGACAUGUCCAAUGAGAAGUCAUAAAUGUUAAAAAUUUUAGGUUUUGACCUGACAAUAUUGUCAUGAUGUCAGUAUAUUGAGGUGUUGUGUUGUUUUUUUUGUGUGUUUCAUAUGUGUUUCCUGUCAAAUGUCAGAUUUUAUUUAUUUUGUUCUCCAAUUCUCUCUCUCUGUUAAUUUAGCCCUUGCUUGUCACCCGUGUCCGCAGAUUAGUUAUUCUCCUCACAUGUUCCCCAUAGUAUUUAAGUUUGAAUUGCGUCAUUAUCUGGGCGGGAUUCUUGUCUGGGUACUUUGUAUGUUAGUGUCUCUCUAAAUGUAACCUCCCCUUGUCCUGAGUAAAGAAAAUAAAAGCAAGA